rnacentral:rRNA from 1 species
GAUGAACGCUAGCUACAGGCUUAACACAUGCAAGUCGCGGGGCAGCAUGGGGGUUGCUUGCAACCCCUGAUGGCGACCGGCGCACGGGUGAGUAACGCGUAUCCAACCUGCCCUUCACCACGGGAUAACCCGGCGAAAGUCGGACUAAUACCGUAUGUUGUCCAUUGACGGCAUCCGAUUUGGACGAAAAGCUUGGCGGUGAAAGGAUGGGGAUGCGUCCGAUUAGCUUGACGGCGGGGUAACGGCCCACCGUGGCUACGAUCGGUAGGGGUUCUGAGAGGAAGGGCCCCCACACUGGAACUGAGACACGGUCCAGACUCCUACGGGAGGCAGCAGUGAGGAAUAUUGGUCAAUGGGCGUAAGCCUGAACCAGCCAAGUAGCGUGCAGGAUGACGGCCCUAUGGGUUGUAAACUGCUUUUAUGCGGGGAUAAAGUGGCCCACGUGUGGGCUUUUGCAGGUACCGCAUGAAUAAGGACCGGCUAAUUCCGUG